UGAGGAAUAUUGGUCAAUGGACGCAAGUCUGAACCAGCCAUGCCGCGUGCAGGAAGACGGUCCUAUGGAUUGUAAACUGCUUUUGUACGGGAAGAAACACUCCUACGUGUAGGAGCCUGACGGUACCGUAAGAAUAAGGAUCGGCUAACUCCGUG
rnacentral:rRNA from 2 species